GACGAACGCUGGCGGCGUGCUUAACACAUGCAAGUCGAACGGAAAGGCCCUGCUUUUGUGGGGUGCUCGAGUGGCGAACGGGUGAGUAACACGUGAGUAACCUGCCCUUGACUUUGGGAUAACUUCAGGAAACUGGGGCUAAUACCGGAUAGGAGCUCCUGCUGCAUGGUGGGGGUUGGAAAGUUUCGGCGGUUGGGGAUGGACUCGCGGCUUAUCAGCUUGUUGGUGGGGUAGUGGCUUACCAAGGCUUUGACGGGUAGCCGGCCUGCGAGGGUGACCGGCCACAUUGGGACUGAGAUACGGCCCAGACUCCUACGCGAGGCAGCAGUGGGGAAUAUUGCACAAUGGGCGGAAGCCUGAUGCAGCAACGCCGCGUGCGGGAUGACGGCCUUCGGGUUGUAAACCGCUUUCGCCUGUGACGAAGCGUGAGUGACGGUAAUGGGUAAAGAAGCACCGGCUAACUACGUG
rnacentral:rRNA from 1 species